rnacentral:lncRNA from 1 species
AUGGGGAACUGCCUGCGCCCCAGCGCUGGCCUCAGUUGUACCUUCUGCGAGGCUUGUAGCCAGUCUGAGGAAUCCACCAUUCCAGAGCCUGCUGUGUUACAUCCCAGAGUGGCGGAGGUGCAGGACGUGCAGCCCGUAAAACCAAAGAGGCGCAAAGGUUUGGCUCGCCGUGUCAGGAGCUGGGUAGCCAAAAAAUGGAGACAAAAGAAAAGGUGCCCCAAUAAAAAUGAAGGUCCCGUUGAGGUCCUCCAGGACUGCGUCCAUGAAGACAUCAAGGACGAGGAGCUCCUGGCGGAGGCGUCAUGUGAGGAUCACCACCGUCCUGUUGAGGUCCUCCAGGACUGCGUCCAUGAAGACAUCGAGGACGAGGAGCCCCUGGCGGAUGCUGCACGUGAGGAUCACCACCGUCCUGUUGAGGUCCUCCAGGACUGCGUCCUUGAAGACAUCGAGGAUGAGGAGCCCCUGGAGUGGUCUGUGGGCUACUAUUACCAUUGUCCUGUUGAGGUCCCCCAGGACUGCAACCUUGAAGACACCGAGGAUGAGGAGCCCGUGGUGAGAUGCAUUUGUUCAUCUUGAGGAGAAAUGUCUUUUUCUGGGGCUUCUAGAAUAUCAAGUGAAUAUCAUUUUUGACUGCCAUUGUGAGUCAGACCUCAGUUGUCAUGGCCUCUAGCCACUAGCGACCAGUCACUGGAGUUUAUGACUAACUGAGGCGUGAUUGACGAUGUCAGUCAAAAGAUGGCAUAACUUACCAACUGUAAGUUGUAUAUUUCUCAGUAGCAACAUUUUCUUCCUGAAAAAUAAUUUUGUAUUUUCCAGCCAGCAUAGACACUUGCUAAAUAUUCCAAACCCACUGCAUUUUCAGUAAGCAUCCCCUAUGCUUCAUUUGGGGCCAGUGACUUCCUCAAUGUUUGACAUCUGGGUUAUUUUUGAGAGAGUCUCUCUGUGUCACCAGGGUACUGUGCAGUGGUGUGAUCUUGGAUCACUGCAAGCUCCACCUAUUGGCUUCAAGCAAUUCUACUGCCUCAGCCUCCCGAGUAGCUGGGACUACAGGCUAUACCACCACCACACCCAGCUUUUUUGUAGUUUUUAGUAUAGAUGGGGUUUCACCAUGUUGGCCAGGGUGGUCUUAAUAUCUUGACCUCAUGAUCUGCCCUUCUUAGCCUCCCAAAGUGCUGGAUUACAGGUGUGAGCCAACACGCCCCGCCCGCCAUUUGGUUUUUUGAUACCGCCAUGUAUCAGAAAAGACCUGUGCCAACAGGAUUCAGCAUGAUGUAAUCCUCACGGUGUUUCUUUUUCUCUUAUUGCAGCAGAGUACUGUGGACCGGGAUUACCACCGUACGUAUUCUUUUUCUCUUAAAUAGUUACUUAGAUGUAGUUGACAUGCAAACCAAUUCACCCAUUUAAAGGAGGUGAUUCAGUGUUUUUAUUACAUUUUCAGGGUUGUGCAACCAUUGUUACAUUCUAAUUAUAGAACCUCUUCAUUCUGCCCCAAGAAACCUUAUUAGUAGUGACUUCUCUGUUUUCCCGAACCCCUGCAGCCGUAAUCUACUUCCUGUUUCUGUAGUACGUUGCCUUUCCAUGUUAGCCAGUUCUUCAAAUUACUAUUUCACAGUGUUGAGGUUGCCCUAGCUAGGAAACCAAGGCUCUUUCAUUUUUUUCUGCCCCUCUUUGCCUUCGUUUAGCACCAGGGAGAAUAGUGUAGCAGUAGCUCAGUCCAUGUUUGUGAACCGCGCAGCUCCACACACUGCAGCCCCCGUCCACGUUUUCCAAAUCUUCUUGUCAGAUUCCUCAGCAGCACCAGUGCACUGACUGUCACUUUGUGUAUUUUUAGGUCCUGUUGAGGUCCUCCAGGACUGCGUCCUUGAAGACAUCGAGGACGAGGAGCCCCUGGUGAGAUGCAUUUGUUCAUCUUGAGGAGAAAUGUCUUUUUCUGGGGCUUCUAGAAUAUCAAGUGAAUAUCAUUUUUGACUGCCAUUGUGAAUCAGACCUCAGUUGUCAUGGCCUCUAGCCACUAGCGACCAGUCACUGGAGUUUAUGACCAACUGAGGCCUGAUUGACGAUGUCAGUCAAAAGAUGGCAUAACUUACCAACUGGUCCUGUGUAUAUUUCUCAGUAGCAACAUUUUCUUCCUGAAAAAUAAUUUUGUAUUUCCCAGCCAGCAUAGACCCUUGCUAAGUAUUCCAAACCCACUGCAUUUUCAGUAAGCAUCCCCUGUGCUUCAUUUGGGGCCAGUGACUUCCUCAGUGU